ACCGUGCGGCCUUCGGGGGCGUUCCAGGUGGCGUCUUAGGAGUGGCUGUGUGACCUUCUCUGGGAUGAGUGCCCGCUGGAGUGGGGAAAAUGCCGGUCACGUUCAGAGGAGGGCUAAGUGCUCCCCAAACCCAUACAUCCCGCAAACGUGUUUUGAGUACCUAGUGGUGCCGCGGCGCCGUCCUGAGAACCUAAAUACAAAAGGGUGCUGUCCUCUCCCCUCAGGGAGCUCUGUCUAGUAGGGAGUCGGUGGGAGCGCACCAGAAAAGAGGCAUCACAUCAUAUUAGGAGAACCUUUAUUCCUGCUUUUGCUGUACUGUGAUCCAAGAAGGCAGAAGUGGAGUAUGAUUUGUCAUCUUAAGUGAAGAGUUUGGCAUUUCUUAUAGGGUGUUGUCUUCAUAGACCUUGUGAUUUAGAUCCAUGAAAAUACCCCUGGUUCAUUAGGAGUUAGAACCUCAGACUGCAGCAAAGCUUCUUUGUUCAUCCUUGUUUCCAAAGGUCCUGGCCACAACUACUAUGCUCUUUGCUCUAGUAAGUUGACCCAGCAUAGGAGUCUUUUAGGCCCACCUUUGAAGAUGAUGGCUUAAUUCCAAGUUCCAGUACGUGAACCUGGCCAUGGACAUUGGCAGCUGACUUCCUCCAUAGUGACCCCAGAAGCUUUCAUCAGAAAACCUAACAGUGACUCCACUGUACCUUAAUUUAAUUUCUAUACAUAAAUUAUAUAAUGAUUUAUACAUUUAUAUUAUAUAUAUAUAUACAUACUACUUAUAGUUUAGUAUACCCUACCUCCAGAACCACACUGAUGAAUUGUCUGUCUCAUUUACAUUUUUAUUAUGAUCCAGUUUACUAUCGAUUAGUAAAACAUCCAGUAACAGCCAAUGGAAAUAAAUGAAUGAGUUUCUCUUCAUUGAAAACAAACAUUCUUUGGUUCUCCAGCUCUAGGCUUCAUAUGGUGAAACUUUCUCUGGAAAGGAAAGGAGCUCAGAGUCCCAUACAGAAAAUUCUUCAGUUUUAAGGAUGUCAGAAAGAUGGAUUUCCGAAGCCAACCAUCUCCUGUACUGUGUGGAUUUCUGCAAGUAGAGCCUCAUCUUUCAGUUUCAGCUACAGGAACAAGGAGGGGAAGUACACAGGUUAUAUCUGAUACACCUAAGUAUCUUUGAAGAUGACCCCUCAUUUAUGGGGCCACAGCUAAAGAGCAAAGUCCCCAGGGAUGGGAUUGGCUUUUCCUAUAUUUAUUUCAUGGAAGCUCUAUUAAAAUACUUUAGAGCAUUA